ACCAGUAGGAAACACUCAUGCGGAGAUUCUUGACAUAUAAAAGUCCAACUAGGAAAUAAACAGUGAUGGAAACUGAUCCCCUCAUAAACUAUCUGUUAGGCCUCAUGUUAGGAGAUGGAGGUAUAUACGACAACAAUUAUACAGUAUUCGUAGAUGAUUCCUGUAAGACGUUUGUGAAGCAAAUAACAGAAAUUGCGAGUGAAAAGCUCGGAACCGAAGUUCACAUGUCACAACACUCAGCCAACUCAUGGAGAGCAUCUAGCAAUCUCACAAGUGUCUGGACUUACUUCUCUACUCUUGGAGUUCCGAAAGGCCGAAAAUCAAAGACAGUAUCCAUUCCUUCAUGGGUUUUUCAGGAAAAAAUGGAAAACAAGCUAUCAGUGAUUCAGGGCCUCUAUGAUGCAGAAGGCUAUGUAGGGAUAGACAAACAACGUCAUGGGGAUAAAACAUACCAGUAUCCUUACAUAGGCAUCGACAUGACCAGUAAAAAAAUAAUAAAUCAAAUAGCUAACAUUUUGCGAGAAAACGGUCUUUCGGUGUCAAUUAACCAACUACCACCAAGAGGUUGGAGUAAACACAGACAGUGGCGAAUUGUAGUAAAAGGUGAACGAAAAGUGACUAAUCUUGCAAAAACGAUAGGUUUCAAACAUCCACAAAAAAUGAACGACUUAGAAAAGGCAAUAGAAUAAGCUUGUAAACCCGUAUUGAGUGGAUCCUCAGAGACUGUACGCCAAGUACCAGUAUAGAAGCUGGUAAUGAUACAGUCCGAACCUCUAGGCAACUAGAGGAGGUUGGUAGAAAUACCAGCCCGCCUCACCAGACCAGUGAGGUUAUGAAAGUAACAGAAUGCUUAAGGUAACGAAGUGCCUUGCCGCUGAAUUGGCGGCUUGCAUGAACGGACCAACGAGCCUUCCACUGUCCCGGUUUGGGUCCCGGUGAACCUACAGUCUGGCGCAGAGACCAGAUACUCCCGUAGGGAAGCGAAGACCCCGUGGAGCUUAACUGCAGGCUGCUGUUGGGGUUUGAUUAACUAUGUAAAGUGUAGGCGGGAGCCUUCGAAGCCAAGCCGCUAGGUUUGGUGGAGGCACUCAUGUAACACCGCCCAUUGUUGACCGGAUCCCUAACUACUACGGUAGAACAGCAGUAGUUGGGCAGUUUCGCUGGGGCGGCAGCCCCUCGAAAAUUUAUCGAGGGGGUCCAAAGGUCGGCUUAGGCGGGUCAGAAAUCCGCCGUAAAGGACAAGGCCAGAAGCCGGCCUAACUGUGUCCUCCCCCAGGAGGACGCAGGGGCGAAAGCCGGGCCUAGCGAACCCCGAUGUCCCUCUUGUUGAGGGCUCGGGAUGACAGAAAAGCUACCCCGGGGAUAACAGAGUAGUCUCCCCCAAGAGCCCGUAUCGACGGGGAGGCUUGCUACCUCGAUGUCGGUUCUUCGCAUCCUGGCCGUGCAGCAGCGGCCAAGGGUAGGGUUGUUCGCCCGUUAAAGCGGAUCGUGAGCUGGGUUUAGACCGUCGUGAGACAGGUCGGACGCUAUCUUGCGGGAGUGAUGGAUGCCUGAGGGUAAGGUAGCUUCAGUACGAGAGGAACGAGUUGCCGGCGCCUCUAGUGCACCGGUUGCUCGAAAGGGCAUAGCCGGAUAGCCACGCGCCAGUCGAUAAGGCCUGAAAGCAUCUAAGGCCGAAGCGAUUCCCGAAAAUAGGCAUCCGAUCUUGACGAGUAUGCCGGGGCUGGUGACAGUCACGGUGCGUCAGGACAAAGACAGGGGCUAGAAGACCCCGUUGAUGGGCUGGGGGUGUAAGCGUGAAGCUUCAGCGACACGUUCAGCCCACCAGUCCCAACAGUCUGAGGUGUUGUG
rnacentral:rRNA from 1 species